CAGUCGAACGGAAGUUUAAGCAAUUAAACUUUAGUGGCGAACGGGUGAGUAACGCGUAAGCAAUCUGCCCCUAAGACGAGGAUAACAGUUGGAAACGACUGCUAAGACUGGAUAGGAGAUAAGAAGGCAUCUUUUUAUUUUUAAAAGACCUAGCAAUAGGUAUGCUUAGGGAAGAGCUUGCGUCACAUUAGUUAGUUGGUGGGGUAAUGGCCUACCAAGACGAUGAUGUGUAGCCGGGCUGAGAGGUCGAACGGCCACAUUGGGACUGAGACACGGCCCAAACUCCUACGGGAGGCAGCAGUAAGGAAUUUUCGGCAAUGGAGGAAACUCUGACCGAGCAAUGCCGCGUGAACGAUGAAGUAUUUCGGUACGUAAAGUUCUUUUAUUAGGGAAGAAAAGAUGGUGGAAAAACCAUUAUGACGGUACCUAAUGAAUAAGCCCCGGCUAACUAUGUGCCAGCAGCCGCGGUAAUACAUAGGGGGCAAGCGUUAUCCGGAAUUAUUGGGCGUAAAGGGUGCGUAGGCGGUUAAAUAAGUUUAUGGUCUAAGUGCAACGCUCAACGUUGUGAUGCUAUAAAAACUGUUUAGCUAGAGUUGGAUAGAGGCAAGUGGAAUUCCGUGUGUAGUGGUAAAAUGCGUAAAUAUACGGAGGAACACCAGAAGCGAAGGCGGCUUGCUGGGUCUUAACUGACGCUGAGGCACGAAAGCGUGGGGAGCAAACAGGAUUAGAUACCCUGGUAGUCCACGCCCUAAACGAUGAGUACUAAACGUUGGAUAAAACCAGUGUUGAAGUUAACACAUUAAGUACUCCGCCUGAGUAGUACGUACGCAAGUAUGAAACUUAAAGGAAUUGACGGGACUCCGCACAAGCGGUGGAUCAUGUUGUUUAAUUCGAAGGUACCCGAAAAACCUCACCAGGUCUUGACAUGCUUUUGCAAAGCUGUAGAAAUACAGUGGAGGUUAUCAGAAGCACAGGUGGUGCAUGGUUGUCGUCAGCUCGUGUCGUGAGAUGUUGGGUUAAGUCCCGCAACGAGCGCAACCCUUGUUGUUAAUUGCCAUCAUUAAGUUGGGGACUUUAGCAAGACUGCCAAUGAUAAAUUGGAGGAAGGUGGGGACGACGUCAAAUCAUCAUGCCCCUUAUGACCC
rnacentral:rRNA from 1 species